CCAUAUAUAUUCAUUGUCUGCUUGAAGAGAAGGAUAUCAAUGAAAAAUCAGUUUUUAUCUACGUAUUUUCUUUAGUUUUCUCUCAUUUCUUUCCUUUACGAGAUGUCGUAUCAUAAUUACGAUCCUGGGGAUCGUAACAAGUGGUAUCAGAGCUCGCAACUAGGCCUGUUUCCGACCAGUCCGACAAGUUACAACGGCGGGUAUUAUUGCCUUCCUUCUUCUCAUCCUCCCGAUACCCAGUUUCCAUUGCAACCAAGUUGCCGACCACCUCCUCCUCAAUUUCCAUUCCAACCGAGUUACUCACUACCACCACCAUCACCUCCCCACACAAUCAUCAAUGGGUAUGUUUUCCCUUAUCAAUUUCCAUCAACCCAUACUUACCAUCCACCUGCUUCUAACCCAAAUCCUUGGAUCUAUCCUUCAAUUUCACAAAGCCAUUCCUAUGACCCAUCAGUUACCAGUGUCAAUUCACACUUCGUCUCCACCAAAACCAUGCCUACACCACCUAUUUACCAUUUUGCUCCUUCACCUCCCGUUUGUGAGCAACCACAUACACUUUCAUAUCCAAAUCCAUUCUGUUCCAUACCCGAGUCUGGCCCUUCACGAAUUUCUCUUCAAACUGACCGGAUACGUAAUUGGGAGGUCCCAGUUGUUGACUCUGGUGGAUACUCUCUCAUACCUGGGCCUACGGUCAAGCUUAAGGGGCUGAGAAACUGCAUUCACCACCACAAGGUUCCGGCAAAUUGCAAGAAUCGCUGAAGAGUUCGAUGGAUACCUUCAUAUCUGAAUUCAAGGAGGAGCUACGAUUGUUAAGGGUUUCAUUGCAAUCUCCAGCCAAGUCAAGUUGAUAACCCACUGACGUUUGGCUAUCCGCCGCCGUCACCAACACCCGAAUUGAUUCCUGCUGCAACUGAGGCUUCUUCAUCACUUAUUCCUGUUGAUAAUGGUAUUAUUCAUAAAACCCAUAUGGAUAGUGGCUUGAAUUUGUCUCACACUGAUAUGCUAUUGAGAUUUAAUGAUAAUACUAGUACGGAUCAUGUUGUGGGUUUUGUGUUUGGUAUUAAUGAGAAUUUAGAAAAUGGGGAGGGAGAGAGUUCUGAUAAGGGGGCUAAGAUGAAUAGUGGAGAUGGUAAAGAGCUCAAUCAGCUUGAGGGUGUCAGUGUUAAGCCUAUACUGGAUUCCUGGGAUAGCAAGUAUCAGAAACGUGUUAGUUCUCCUAGUUUGACCUAUGAUCUUUUAGCACCGCUAAUUGGCUCACUUUUGCCAACAACUCUGCCUCUGGUACCUUCCACUACACUAGCUUCUGAAAUAUUGUCAAGUUCAAUGCAGAACAAGGUACCAAUUGUUUUUUCCUUCUCUAGCCACACUUAGUGGAAGCUUACCACCCCUCUGUACUAUGGAGAUAAUUGCUUAUAUGGUGAAGUACGAAAGUUUUGGGAGAAAAAUUGGUAGAAAUGGUGAGCAUGCACUUCUAGGUCAUUUUUCACAGCUGCUACCAUCCAUCGAUUCAGUGAGCUUCUCUGGGUUUGAUAAGAAGGUCCGUGAUAAAGGUGUCGGCCACAUUCUUUUAAAAGACAAACCUUUUAACCUGAGUAAAGAGGUCACAGGGAAUGUAAGGCUGCUUCGGGCAAGUAUCUCCAACUUGAUAUCCACAAUUUGGAACUUGGACACAAUGGCAUAUGGUAAUAGCUCUAAUAGCUUGAAAUUUACCUUUUCAUUGAUAAUUUCUUUGAUUGAAAUAUUGAGUUAUGGAUCUGCUGAGAAAAAUACAAGAUUGUUUACCAAGAUCUCAGUGACGUAUUAAUGUUAAUAGUGGGUGCAUGGAUUUGCACUAUGAUCAUGGGCUUAUUUCUAGUGGCAUUACAUUUAAUAGUUUCUUGGUGCAUAGAAAUGGUGAAUGCAUAGUUAUCCGUUGCUCUAACUUGCUUCAAAGGAUGAGUAAAUUGCAGCUAUAUGUUGAAGUAGUACAUGGAGGAAUUAGUUGCAUGAUUCACACUUCUCUGAGUUUUAAAGCAGCGGUAGAUUUUUCUAUGUGUGCUAUCAUUGAAUUUAGUAUUGUAGCUACUCUGAAUGUUUGGUUGAAUGGUAAUCUUCUGUGUCUACUUCUUGAGAACAAAUCGGCGAAAAUGAGUUUGUUAUUUGCUGAUAAGUUUGAGAAAAUGGAAGGGAAUGCCAGAAUGAUGUUGGAUGACUUUUGGGGAAGAUGGAAAACUAUAGUAAUGGUUGCAAAUGUAUAUUGUACGGAAGAGUUGCGUGUGAAUUUUCUUGAAGACCGUAUGAAGCUCGAUGAGAAGUGUUUGGGAUAUGUUAUGUCUACCAUAUAUACACCUUACCCAAUGCAGAAGUUGGGAUUCAAAUUCAAUUAUCAGAAUUUAUACCAGUUUUUAUUCUCUUUGAGUAAAUUAGAAGGAGAUUUAUCAUUUCAGCUUACGGCAAACAUCUCACCCACCAUGGAUAUUACCCCAGAUGAUCUGUUGAUAUUGGAGGCAGGUAUUUCUUGCUUCCAAAAGUUGUGUGAUGUUGCUCUAGAUUAUUACCAUGUUGAAUCUUUGCUUGCUUUGUCAGGAGAAAUUGAGAGAGCCUUAUUGCUCUGUCGAAGAGUACUCUUCCCCUGUUUUAUUUCAGAGCUUGUGAAGGGAGAUCAUCAGCUUCAAUUAUUCUUACCUUAUGAUACUUUGUUUGUUAUGGGAGAAGCAUUUACAAAUUCGGAGUUGCUGCAACAUAAGUAUCAAUUUGAUCUAGUAGAUGUCAUGGCUGUUGUUGCAAGUGCAAUUAUUCAAUUGCAAUUAAAUGAAGCUACUGAGUCAUACAAGAGAGUGGACAAACUUUUGAGAGCUUUUGGGAUAUGUAUAUCAUUUAAUCAUUUGGCCAACCAUCAUUCCUCAAAUGGUCCACAAGUUUUAAUUGAACAGCUUGUUGAUAUUGAAUGUAGUGUGGAUAUAUAUGAAGCAACUAUGGUACAUUGGCUCGCUAAUUAUGAUGAAGGACCCAAUUGGCAAGGAGCAAUGGGAACCGGUACAUGGUUUAUCAAAAUGCAUGGCUUCCAUCAUAUUAGCACUAUCAAAGUGCUCCAGCAACACACUUGUCUGCAACAUAUGCAAUUAGUUAUGAGGAAACUCAUUCAGGCAGAAACUCAGGUACCUCAAUUGGUCAAGAAAACAAUAUUAGCUAAUGAAAUAUGUGAAAUUCAGGGAAAUAUGGAUGGCUCCAUUAAUGCUGAUUCUCCUCCAAUAUUUUCAUGCUUUGGUGAUCUAGCUUUGACCAUGAUUUUGUACUCCUUGUGGUUGAUUAGAGCCUGGCACAAAAGCAUGGGUUACUUGCCAUUUGAAGACUCUGAUUAUCCAACAAUGCCUUGGUUCAUAUACAUUUUCCUUGGCCUUGGGGUUACUCUGUGUUCAGGACAUGGUGCUGCAGACACUGCACAUGGUUAUGGGUUUCAAAUGACAUCUUGUAGAGGUGCCCAGAUUUUGAUUCAGAAUAUGAAACUUGAGGACAAGUUUGUUUAAAGGGGGAUGGAUUGUUAAGAACCGAAUUGUUAGAAUUCUUAUAUUACUAGGACUCUUGCUAUCUAUUUUCUAGAACGCACCGUUUUACUUGUUUUGGUGUUGCGCACCGUUUUAGCAUUGUAGAUAGAAUAUGUUAGGUAGAGUCAGCUACGGUUACUCGUGUGCGUGAGCUCCAUAUAUAUUCAUUGUCUGCUUGAAGAGAAGGAUAUCAAUGAAAAAUCAGUUUUUAUCUACUUAUUUUCUUUAGUUUUCUCUCAUUUCUUUCCUUUACGAGAUGUCGAUCGUAUCAUAGUUACGAUCCUGGGGAUCAGAACAUUUAAAUUCCGAUUUGGGGAAAUCCCAUGAAUCUACUCUAAAUUUCUGGCAACAAUCUUGAAGCCCAGUUGUUGGGUUUGUGGGUUUAAUCUGGAAAAGCUGUAAAUGCCUGUAAUCUUUGAAACCAUCUGUUUGGGUUUGUGGUUUUGUAGGUAGACUUACUGGUUGUUGCUUGUGCGUUUGGAUAGAGGUCAGUGGCUGACCUGCUGGCGGUUGCUGGUGCGUGGGAAUUGGGAUUGUUUGAUUUGGAGAAUUGGAUUUGCUGCUGUGAUUUUGGGGGCUACCCCAGGUUUUGUUAUGUAGGGUGCAUUUCAUUAAAGAAGUUCUACUUCUACCGGCUCUCAUAAGUAAUGGAGAUGAGAAAAUAGUAGGCGGUCUUGCGGACUUAUUGUCAAAGAUUGUCAAAAAAAAAAAAUUGUGCACUUCUAAUUAGCCUAGACAAGUCUCGGAUCCUGAGUCCGCCACUAGAUGUACUACUCAUGAAUACUGCAAGACUACAAGAUUUAUGUUUUCACAACAAACCAAGUGUGAGACUGAAUGCCAGAGUUCUAGUCGAUGGAAAGCUCCUGCUGUUGGGUUGUAUAAGAUUAAUGUGGAUGGUAUCUUUAACCACAUCACAAGGAAGGGUAGUUGUGGCUUUGUGGUAAGAGAUAGUACUGGUACUAUGAUUGCAGGAGGGGGAAGGCCUCUAUCUGGUUUAUUUUUGGCGGAACAUGCCGAAGCUCUGGCUUGUGAAUUUGCCUUUGCUUUUGCAUUGAAUCAAAACUUGGUCCCAACUAUAGUAGAAAUAGAUUCUCAACUUGUGCAGCAGCAGCUCUGCAGGCAUAAUGGAAGCAACUGGUCAUUGCUCACUUGCUUGGACUUCUUUAUGUGGAUUUGGGUGAUACUUUGAGUUCCCAUGCUAGUUUAAAGGUUAGUCAUAUUAGGAGAGGAGCAAACAUAGUAGCACACAUGAUGGCUGCUUAUGCUAGCUCAUUUUCUCGAGAUUGUUUUUUCUUCUCUACCCCCCACCUUUUCUGAUCGAUGCAGUUGCAGCUGAUCAAAGUCAUAUGUAAUCUUCCUUUUUUUAAUAAAAUUUGACCUCCUUGAUUCAAAAAAAAAAAAAAAACUUUAAACGAGGUGGUUUUUCCAUGUCAAACCACCGAAAUCAUGCAUCAUUUUUGUGCCGUCCAAUAAACAUUGGCCUUAGGAAAAGCAAGUAGCACUCCACGAACCCACCCAAUUGUUUUAUAACUUUGACAGAUGCAUGUGAAACGUUUUCUAUUUUUAGUUGAUAAUUUAUCGAUGCAUACAUGAACAUCAUUCUUUUUUCUUUUCUUUACAAACAAAGAGGUCACUGACACAUAAAAGAUACCUGAACGAGAAUAAAAGUAGUGAUCUCUUGUGGCCAAUAGCUGUAAUCUGUGAAAAACCCCAAGUUUAGUGUGCUCAGAUCUACAUAUUGUUGCCAAUUUCUUCAAAAUUGACCUCAUUGAUCAUUUUUUUUUUUUUUUUUGGCAAUAAUUGUACUUUUCUUUUUCAAAUAAAUCAGCGCGCAGAACUAAGAGUCUGAGUCAUUUGACUCAGUGCUAGUUGUAUUCGGGCGUGGGAAAGAACAUGCUAAAACGGGCGGGCAACCAAUGUUUCUUAAAUGAUUUUUUCUGAUAUCCCCAAAAUACCCCUCUUAAAUUUUGCAGUCAACAUUUCCUUUCUCUCUGGUUCCGUCUUCUCUUUCUUCUCCUCCUCUCCGAUCUCCUCCCAGCUUCGUCGAACCGCUCUACUGUAGCCGCAGGA